rnacentral:rRNA from 1 species
AUUGCCUUAGUAGCGGCGAGUGAAGCGGCAAAAGCUCAAAUUUGAAAUCUGGCACCUUCGGUGUCCGAGUUGUAAUUUGAAGAUUGUAACCUUGGGGUUGGCUCUUGUCUAUGUUUCUUGGAACAGGACGUCACAGAGGGUGAGAAUCCCGUGCGAUGAGAUGCCCAAUCCUAUGUAAGGUGCUUUCGAAGAGUCGAGUUGUUUGGGAAUGCAGCUCUAAGUGGGUGGUAAAUUCCAUCUAAAGCUAAAUAUUGGCGAGAGACCGAUAGCGAACAAGUACAGUGAUGGAAAGAUGAAAAGAACUUUGAAAAGAGAGUGAAAAAGUACGUGAAAUUGUUGAAAGGGAAGGGUUUGAGAUCAGACUCGAUAUUUUGUGAGCCUUGCCUUCGUGGCGGGGUGACCCGCAGCUUAUCGGGCCAGCAUCGGUUUGGGCGGUAGGAUAAUGGCGUAGGAAUGUGACUUUGCUUCGGUGAAGUGUUAUAGCCUGCGUUGAUGCUGCCUGCCUAGACCGAGGACUGCGAUUUUAUCAAGGAUGCUGGCAUAAUGAUCC